rnacentral:lncRNA from 1 species
UUGAAAGGCCAGCUGCCAGAAGCUUCUCACUCCGUGGAGACCUUGGAGUCGAGGAUGAAAUGUCUUACAACUGUGGGGAGACCUUGGCUUUUCCAAAGCCUACCAGGGUCCACAGAACACAUUUUCCACUACAUCAUUUGUCAGGACUAAGUACGGAUUUCUGAGUAUAACCAUGGAAGAAGACCCUCGAAAGGGAACUGCUGAGUUAAAGGGGACUUGGAAGCUAAGGCCCAGAGAGGAGGAGAAACUUGAUCAAAGUCAAUCAGACAAUGCAGAAUCGAGAAAAGUACCUGGACCUCUAUGCCCAUGCUUCUAGCAGCCAGCCUCCUAAAAUACCUCUAGUUGAAGCCAAAGUUAGAAUCCUUCUACGAAACUACAGGAUUAAAAUGGAAUGGUUACAUGACCCAGGCUUGACCAAUCAGAUCAUCCAAACCCUUUGCCACAGUGAUUGGUCCAGGGAUACAUGCAUGAGCCAGCUCAGGUAAAUGAGACUCAAUUAUAAGAAUUUUGUUAGCGCAAUUGGGAAAAAGAAGUUUUCUUUCCAUGAGAACUAUCAGCUAUAAGAAUGUUGGAUGCUUCCAUCUGCUGGAGUCCAUGAAGAAGGUCCAUGAAAAUGAAGCCAGCACAACAACACAGAGCUAAGACAUACAAAGAGAUGGAGAUUAAAUUGAAUGGAACUUUUAAGCCCCUACAUGCCCUUGAAGCCAGAUAUCCCUGAACUU